rnacentral:rRNA from 1 species
GACGAACGCUGGCGGCGUGCCUAAUACAUGCAAGUCGAACGCUUUUUCUUUCACCGGAGCUUGCUCCACCGAAAGAAAAAGAGUGGCGAACGGGUGAGUAACACGUGGGUAACCUGCCCAUCAGAAGGGGAUAACACUUGGAAACAGGUGCUAAUACCGUAUAACACUAUUUUCCGCAUGGAAGAAGGUUGAAAGGCGCUUUUGCGUCACUGAUGGAUGGACCCGCGGUGCAUUAGCUAGUUGGUGAGGUAACGGCUCACCAAGGCAACGAUGCAUAGCCGACCUGAGAGGGUGAUCGGCCACACUGGGACUGAGACACGGCCCAGACUCCUACGGGAGGCAGCAGUAGGGAAUCUUCGGCAAUGGACGAAAGUCUGACCGAGCAACGCCGCGUGAGUGAAGAAGGUUUUCGGAUCGUAAAAACUCUGU